rnacentral:lncRNA from 1 species
UGAAGCAAGGGCGAAAGUCCCCUUCGCCCGGGCGCUGCCCUCUGCCUGCUGUCCCCUGUGCUCCUGUUCCCCGUGGCUGCCCAGGGACAGGUGUGUGGGAUGGAGGACGCGGGAGAGGCUGAGUCCUCCCCAGUGGACCCCCAGAUGCAGACCCUGAGGCAAGGGAGAGUGAGAAAGUGAAGGAAAGAACACAGCUGGAAAUGCAACCAAGAAGGAACCCCAGCCCGGACCACCAGGCAAGGCAGCGGGAUGUCUAUGCCCCAAGCCCUGCCAGUCGUGGAUGGAGACGCACACUUUAGUGCGGGCUCCAGAGACAGAGGGAGCCCCAGGCCGAGAGCUGUGGGUGCUGGGCAACCAGAAUGAGAUGUCUCCACACACAGAGAGCUGCAGCCGAUGCCGGCCGGUGACUUGGGACUUGGAUGCUUAACAGGAGGCUCCCCCUCUCUUGGGAGGUAGAGAGCAGUGAGGAAGGGGACUCAGCCUCCAUGCCUCCCGCCAGCCCAGCUGCGCCCGAAUCACCUCCCUCCUGAAAGGAUGUCAGCCUCUGCUUGGACACCGUGGAGACAGGGCCCUCCUUGUGCUUCAGAAGCAUCAACGUGUCAGAAAAUCAUCUUCACGCCAAGUCUGGAAAAAAUGGCUUUGAGGUUGUGCACACAAAGGAAGGAGGGAGAGCCCCAGGUGUCGCGGAGGACCAUGCGGCUGACAGAGCCAGCAGGGCGGUGGCGUGUGAGCCGUGCUCUGGAUAUAUAAGGAUCUGACGCUGCUGGCAAUGUCUGAGCUCUAUGCUCGCCCAUCUGUCGGCUGCUAUCAUCACCGGGUGGGAUUAGCGGAGAUCCACUCUUUCAUAUUUAAAUCUUCACAAGAGAAUGAAUCACUUUUAUAAUAAAAGAAAA